UUUCUGAGCUCUUCCUUUUCCCUGAAUAAGAGUGAAAAUAGCAGGUGAGCUGGGGCCAAAGACUUAAACUGGGCACUGCAGGCUGUGGGCCUCAGUAAUGGGAUGUGCUCAGAGCGCAUGAUGGAUGCCUUCUCCUCUCCAUCUUGUCAGCAGAUCUCGGACUGCGUGUAUAACCUCAUUUGGGGAUAAUAUCAAGAGCCCAUAUCUGAGCCCUUUGUGAGUAUGAGGCCCAGCCAAAUGGCUCCUGUCAACUGCCGAACGCACACACACUGGAGAGGCCUGGUGUUGGACCACCAUCCCACCUGUGUACCCACCCACACCCGCCAGGAGAAAGCCCAGGGUCCUGUGGCUCUCCGGUCACCCUGGUAACCUCCUGGCAGUCGUGGGAAUGUCUCGGAGCUCGGGAGGAAGCUCAGCGCCACCUUCCCCACCCCCCUUCAGGAGAGAGGGUUCUCCGUAAACCCCAGAUGCUUGGCCACCCUGCCCUGGCUCGGGUUCUCUCUGCUCGUCCCUGACACGGCAGCCUGGACCAGCUCUAAUGAGAAGGAACGUGAAGCCAGCCAUCCUGAAUUUCUUUGUAUUAUAACCAGAAUCCUCGUCCUUUUCCAUCAAGCAGCUCUAGGUGUAGAGUAUCAUGGGAGAAAGUGCCCUGUGUCAGGGCCCACCCCCCAUUCAUGGAGUCCUCGCCCAAUCUCCUUGCACAGCUGGGGGCAGAAAGUCAUCAGCUGUCCUGGGAAGCCCUCGGCUCCCAAGCUCACCUCCGUGUCUAAGCACACAGCCAGAAGCCAUCCUUCAAGGCCAUUAAUUAACCAGGGUCUUUGGAGAUGACUUUCUCUGUUUUUGGCAUGAUUUGCUGAUAAGAGUUUUAGAACCUAGGUUCCUCUCCAUCCCCAGCCUCAGCUGUUUGUUCCCUCCAUGUACAGUUAGUGGCAUAAUCGUUUCAUCAAGAAACAUCUCCUAACCUCACUGGCCAAAUCCUUUGGUCAGAGCUGAGAGGAUCCCCUCCCUUUUCCUUUUAG
ensembl:lncRNA